UUUGUGGCCACUGGCACUUGGGAAUAGAAGCUCGGAGCCCGUGUAGAGGCCCAAAGGGCCUCUGCAGCUUUUCUUGGUUGAUCACUGAUAAAUGAGCCCAGCGUGGCACAAGAACCCUUUGCUAUUAUCUUGUCCCUUGGUCUCCUAAAGAACUGUGGGGCCUACACUUCACUUUCAAGGGUCAUAAACUUCUCAAGUGAUAAAACAGGCUCUGAGCUGGGAUGCUGAGUGGCGGAAUUUGUUGUGUGUGCAGAAACCCGUGGUUACGGGACCGAUGCGCGCCCCAAACGGCGUCACGACAGAGCUGCUGAGGACUUGUCUGAGCUGGAGGAGAACAUAAAACAGACAUGUGCUUUUCAAGACCGAAAAGGGAAAGCACAAGACCACUGCUUGGGACACUUUCUUUUGCAAAGUGGUGAAGGGGGCGAGCCGAGUCUAGCCUUGGAGGACGGAAGGUUGUGGAUAAGGGGGAACCUGCGUGCAUCUGUCCUACUUCGGUCAGGCUUGUCCUUGCACCCUGCUUUACUGCCCACCUGGUCCCACACCUGCAUUUUCUUCAGAAGAACAACAAAUCGAUACUCGGUACUUGGGCUUAUUCAGGGUGAAAUGUCUUUCUCGGCUUCUUAUGAUUAAAGCCUAGUUUGAAGAUGUA